rnacentral:rRNA from 1 species
AGUGAACGCUGGCGGUAGGCCUAACACAUGCAAGUCGAACGGCAGCACAGAGGAGCUUGCUCCUUGGGUGGCGAGUGGCGGACGGGUGAGGAAUACAUCGGAAUCUACUCUGUCGUGGGGGAUAACGUAGGGAAACUUACGCUAAUACCGCAUACGACCUACGGGUGAAAGCAGGGGACCUUCGGGCCUUGCGCGAUUGAAUGAGCCGAUGUCGGAUUAGCUAGUUGGCGGGGUAAAGGCCCACCAAGGCGACGAUCCGUAGCUGGUCUGAAAGGAUGAGCAGCCACACUGGGACGGGGAGACGGUCCAGACUCCUACGGGAGGCAGCAGUGGGGAAUAUUGGACAAUGGGCGCAAGCCUGAUCCAGCCAUACCGCGUGGGUGAAGAAGGCCUUCGGGUUGUAAAGCCCUUUUGUUGGGAAAGAAAUCCAGCUGGCUAAUACCCGGUUGGGAUGACGGUACCCAAAGAAUAAGCACCGGCUAACUUCGUGCCAGCCGCCGCCGUAA